GCCAAGUGGUAAGGCAGAGGACUGCAAAUCCUUUAACCCCGGUUCGAAUCCGGGCGGCGCCU
rnacentral:tRNA from 1 species